ensembl:lncRNA
AUGAGACAAACUGAUAUUUUGAUUUGCUUGUUAGAUGCCAAGAGAAAUUCAAGAAAUCUCACUUUCAGCCAGGAAACAGAUCAGAAAGGAUUGAUUUCAGGAAAUUCUGGGUUUCAACAGCCAUCAACAAAAGUUUGGAAAUGUCAGCCCUGUGGUGAUGGCUGGCAGCAGCACGGGAAGCACUGCUACUCUUUCUCUAGAGAGCAGAUUCCGUGGAGCAGUUGUGAACUUCACUGUUCUCCUUUACGUUCAAGUUUUCUUAAGAUAAGCACGGAAGGAGAGAUGGUAAGGACAAGUAUGUAUGGCCACAUUUUAGUACACUUCUCCAGGAAGCAUCUCUGGAUUCUAUGCCUUCCCUCUUCUGAGACAACCAUGCCCACGCAUGGUACUGUAUAUACCCAUCAGGCUGUGCUGCUCUGUUUCGUAAGACCUGCCCCAGGUCCUGGUGUAAGGCCCCAGUCUGGCAGGGCUCUGCACGGCCGAGCCACAGCUGAACUCUUGCCUGUGUCUCCAGUCUCCUUCCUUACCAAUGACGGUGCAUCACGUCCAGUCUCCCGCCCACUUCCACGUGUUCCCUUUACAUCUCCUCAAAGGGUAAUUCAGUGUGCUCCAGACAGUCUGACUCCCCCUCCAACUUCUGUGAAACCCUCUCGCAUACAUCUCAUUUGUCAUAGAACCAGUCCACCCUGCAAAGAGUCUUUGGACCUCGUGACUCUUGUAGGAGCCCUUGGUGAGCCCUGGCUGAGCCCUGGCAUUUCAUCCUGCACUGGUCUCCUCUGUGACAUUUGCUCCCCUAACUGCUUUGCUCUUGGAUUCUCAGGAAGCAAGUCUGUUUUCAGUUCAAUACUCAAUGCCCAGCACAAUGCCUGGAAUAUCACAAUGCUUUCAUAAUGGUUGUUGUAUAAAUAUAUAAUUGGUUACUAGUUGUUGGCAAAGAAAUCUCAAGAGCAUUUUUAGUAUGGUGAUAUAAUUCCAGACAAAAUGAAAAUUCUCAGUAACUCUUAUUAUGGAACAAUCCCUUAAUCUCUGUACGCGUAGCCAACAAAAGAUGUCAGAUUUCACUUUUUCUGUUCUUAUUUUGUCCAGGAGUUUGUAAAAAGAAUGUCAAAGAAGCAGUGUUUUUUGUAUGAGGACAAGUUCGGGUUCAGUUUAUACUACAAUAGCAGCCAAAUGAAAUGGGUGUGGCUAGAUGGUUCAGCUUUUAUUCUGGACAAGUAAGUAUCCUCCUACUGUCUUAGAGCACCAAUUGCAGGAUGAGCACCUUACUUAGCUCAUUUCAUAUGAUCAGAUGUUAAAUUCCAUGUCUGGUCGUUUCAUGAAAAGUUAAAAGAGAAAUCAUUGGAUGAGGAGGAAACAUAACAAAGUACACUUAUUUCAGCAGCAUGCUAAGAAGUUUACUGAUGAAAUCUAAAUAAAUGUCCUGUCAAAUCUUAAGGGUUUUUAAUU